AUCGUUAUCGAACAAAGUCGAUUUCUUUUGUAAAAACAUGCCGCGCGCGCUGAAAUAACAAAAAGGGCGCAAGUCUGCUCACACUGCGCCAGUCUUUUGGCCUAUAACCGUCGUACCGUUCUACCUAAAGGUGUUUACAGCUGAUCAACAUUUAAAACGAACUUUCCAUUUCUUAACUGUGUCCUCUACAAGUGCAGGAUAACGCAAUCAGACACACACACUACCAGUAACUGGCAUUAGUAUGAACCAUACAAAUAUAAUAAUGUAUAAUAAAAAUAUAUUUAUUCUUUUGACGUGUUGUUGAUAAUAUUGGUAGAAGCUACAGAGUUUUAAGUCGGAAAUACUCGAGGGGACUCGGUUCCUUUGUCUCAAACGACAGUUAACAAGCGUUCUCUUUAAAAUUUAUUCGAAAUAUAAGUCCAUAAUUUAAAGAUAAUAUUUUAAUUUACAUUUCUUUUUAUACAAUCUGCGUUGGACAUCCCCACUUAAAUCAAAUUUCAAUUAAAAUAAAUGAUAUAUUAAUCACGGCGACCAGAACAAGCCGACCUGGUCUACUGGUGUGAUUUUGGCACCAUAGAAACGCCGCACUUUGCCUGACAAUGGGCCGCAUUAGCCAGUUGAUAUCCACACGCAAAACAAUCAACUGCAUUUACUAUCCAGAUCCUAUGCGACUGGAGAAUCUCAGUCAUUCUGGACAGCCACGUGGUUACGACGAGAACACUGCCAAAAAUGUCACUGUGACCUAAUGUCAUCGAGGCUGCGAAAUGCACACGACUCGGCGGUACACACACCGAUACUAUUCCACACACGUACUGACAUAGGUGCCUAUAGUGACGGGCACGAACACUCCGAAUGUCGUUGGUCAAGCGGCGAGAGGGGUGGCUGAUGAUAAGCUACGUGGAGCAUUGGCCGGACUACUCGUGUAACUUUUUAACAAUUAUUAUUGUUACACGAUUUACGGUAUAUUGUUUGUUGAGUCAACCUUGACUUUUAAUCUAAUAAAAUCAAUUUUUUUUUAAACGUAAAUUUGGAAAUUUGUUUAUAGAUCGUAAUAUUUUGGACGAAAUAAGAUUUGGACCUAUUGUCCUGAAACCGUGUAAUUGUACGAAUAUAGAACGCUUAAAAUAGCAUAUGGGUAAUAAUCCAUUUUGAAUUUUUUUUGAUAAUCCACCUCUUAGAAGCUAAACUACUGUAGUUUUAACAACAGACACGGUAAUAAUAAUAACGAGUUAUGAAAUCUUCUUAGCUUUGCCAAGGAGCUAAAACAACUUUCAUUUAAUUAAAAAUUAGUAUUUCUCAC